UCCCCGUUACCGGGGCAGUCUGAUUAGAAAAAUACAACUAAUCAUAGGGGUUGCGCUCGUUAAUGGACUUAACCAAACAUCUCACGACACGAGCUGACGACGGCCAUGCAACACCUGUCACUGAGUUCCGGCUCUCAACACACAAUCUAACGAUUAUGCGCUCAGAGCCGGCACUCACUGCUUUCGCAGUAAUUCCCAGGAUGUCAAGCCCUGGUAAGGUUCUUCGCUUACCAUCGAAUUAAACAACACGCUCCACUGCUUGUGCGGCUCCCCGUCAAUUCCUUUGAGUUUUAGUCUUGCGACCGUACUCCCCAGGCGGGAUGCUUAACGCGUUAGCUUCGCAACGAACCGGGUCGAUACGGCUCACUGCUAGCAUCCAUAGUUUACGGCGUGGACUAC
rnacentral:misc_RNA from 1 species